UUCAGAUUCUGUGUCUCCCUCUCUCUCUGCCCCUCCCCUGUUCAUGCUCUGUCUGUCUCAAAAAUAAAAUAAAAACGUUAAAAAAAAAAAAAAAGAAAACCUUAUAAAAAAAACCAAAACUGUAUUCUUAUUCCCACCGCCCUAAGGGCAGUAGACCUCUUUGAGGUGGAGAGGAGAGCCGGGCCACCAGUGGCAAGAGGUUCAGAGCAGAGACGGCAGAACUGAGUAUGAGGUCCCUGGAGGGCAGAUACGCAUCUCUCCAGCCCCUGCUGAGAGGGGUCUCUGGAGAACAGAGGCAUUACCUAGUGUCAGAGGGGGUAAUGUCCUGCGACAUCAGAAAUCACAAGUGGUUCUGGUUUGCAGGGUUAUAUGAUGAUGGAAGCUCAAGGUUCUACCAAUGCAAAUACUAUGUUGUGACAUGGACCCCAAACCUGUUUGUUUUUCUAUUCUCUGUUAUCUGUGCUUUGUCUUCUUAAUAUCGAAAAGGAGAUUUGACCUUGAUCACACUUACCCCCCCCUCCCCCCCCGCCACAGCAUGCUGGGGAAAAAGCAGGGCCCCUCUCAGGAGGACAGAGACACAGCAAGGAAAGCUCUGGAUCUGGACUUACGAAAAACUUCCUUUGCCCCUUCCCAAACCCUCUGCUCCCCUCCUCUCCUGUCACAAUGGUGUCCUCCCUGCCCCUCUCACUCAGCUCCUGCCCUGGCCUGCAGCAAUCUCCACUCAAGGCCUUACCCUCAAGACCAGCAUACUCAGGCCCUGGUCAUCACCGAACCUCUCCAUCUCAGCAAUUGUGGACUCAGGGAACCCACCUCCAGCUCUCCAAACCUGUCCUCCCAGCCUCACACCUACUAUCCUAUUCUGGGCUUCGCCCCUUUUAGGCAGCUCCUAGUCCCUCUCUAGAGGGAACCUGUCCCUGGCAGCUCAUGCCACCUACCUGGUCUCUCCCCUCCAUCCCCUCAGAUACUGGCCCUUCCAUUCCAGGUAAUUCUCUUCUCAUUUUAGCCAAGGGCACAGCUCCCUCACCUCUGGCCUUCCGUUUCCACCUUUAUCUACAUCUACAUCCACUUUGCGGUCCGGUAGGGACCUUGCCACCAUCAAUGAACUACUCCACCCCUUGGCUCCCUCCCCACAGCAAGCUUAAUUCUUUCCCACCUUCAAAAAGACCUCUUGGGCCCCAAGUCCCCCACUAGCUACCAGCCCAUCCCUCUGCCCCUUCUCUUUCACCAUACGGCCUCUACUAGAGGUCCUUUAGACCACUCAUUGGGGAGCAGAGGACCGAGUCAGCAGGUUCUGCUGAACUUAGUCACAUAGACUGCAUCUGGAGACUUCCUCUCACCUCUUCCAAGGGAAAGAACAAAGGUCUGGCCACAAACUGCCCAAGGAGUAAGCUCAAUCAACCAACCCAAGGAAAAUGAGAGGACAGAAAUUUGCAGGGAAGGGAAGGAGGUGACAUUGCCUGAGCUGCACAUAGGCUGAGAGUGCUGGUCUAUGUGAGCCUGAGGACAUACCCGCAUGCACACACGUACCGCUGGGAACACCCACACAUACACACAGCCACAGGCCCACGUGUAUAGACACAGUCUCAAGCUUUAGGGGCAGUAUCAGUUGGGUGCCUCCUGACACACCCACGCCCACAACAGCCUUGACUUCUGCCCCUUCCUGACUCAGAAGGGUGGGGUGGGGGAGGAUAGGGGGGAGACCAUGCUGUCUCCUUGCCCGCCCCCCCCCCCCAGGCCAGUUACAGCCCUCCUCUUCUCACAGUGACCCUGGGCCUGCCUGUGGCCCAGCCCACAAGCUCCUGCCAUUCAGCCUCCUGCACCUGGAGUGGUCUCCUUCCAGGUUCAUAGGCCACACUCCAAUGCCGUGCAUCAGCUGAGCUGGAAGUAAGGAAAGGCCCUGGGGACUUAGGACCCCUGAAGACGCCGGGGCCCUCUUCCACGCAGGGGGGUGGAACACCAUUGGACUCCACCCAGAGAGUGCGGCCUUCAAACUCACAGGUGACUGAUAGCAAUGGCAAGAAUUACUGGAUGGAAGGGUAAGUCAAGAAUCCCUUAAACUCCUCCCCCUUGGUUUUAGGAAGUCUUCCAGGAUGGAUGAGAGACUGGGCCUUCACAAACGGCCAAACCGACGCACCAGUCUCAGUCCCUAUGGGCCGUUGCCCAGGACACUGGUGCAUUAGGCCUGACACAGGCUGCGAUAGUGAGUGUGAUUUAUAAUAAGGAACAUACAUUUGGUCUGUGUCCACUGUUCUGGCUCACAGUUCCAAAACCCCUUGCGAUGUCCUAAGUGUAAGAGCGAUGGUAGCACCUUUCCUUAUGGAAUGGUCUUGUCCUCAGUCGCUGGAAUUGCUUCAGAGCCAUGAAGGCAAAGUGGGUGGGGUUUUCAAAGCCCCAAGGUAACCUAAGGAUGGAGGCCGGUUGCCCAAAGAACAAGCCUUAUAACUUUGGAUCACGCCCCACAUCUCCCCACCCAAGGGUGAGGGGCUAGAGGUGGAGCUCAGUCCCCAACAGCCAAUGAUUUAUUCAAUCGUGGCUAUGUGAGGAAGCCUCCACAAGACCCCAAAAGGAUGGGGUUUGGAUCCCUUCAGGGCGGUGAACACAUGGACGUGCUGGAAGGGCCUGGAAGCCCCACACCCCUUCCCACACCUUGCCGCUUGCCUCUCUUCCAUCCGGCCGUUCCUGAGUCACACCCUGUGAUAAUAAACCGGUGGCCUAGUGAGUAAA